rnacentral:rRNA from 1 species
ACGCUGGCGGCACGCCUAACACAUGCAAGUCGAACGAAGUAGCAAUACUUAGUGGCAGACGGGUGAGUAACAUGUAGGUAUCUGCCCUUUGGCCUGGAAUAACACGAGGAAACUUGUGCUAAUACCGGAUAAGUCUUUACAGAGAAAGCUUUAUGCACCAUUGGAUGAGCCUGCACUUGAUUAGUUUGUUGGUGGGGUAAUGGCCUACCAAGACUGUGAUCAAUAGCUGAUUUGAGAGGAUGAUCAGCCACAUUGGGACUGAGACACGGCCCAAACUCCUACGGGAGGCAGCAGUGGGGAAUCUUGCACAAUGGAGGAAACUCUGAUGCAGCGAUGCCGCGUGAGUGAAGAAGGCCUUUGGGUUGUAAAGCUCUUUCGUCGGGGAAGAAAAUGACUGUACCCGAAUAAGAAGGUCCGGCUAACUUCGUGCCAGCAGCCGCGGUAAUACGAAGGGACCUAGCGUAGUUCGGAAUUACUGGGCUUAAAGAGUUCGUAGGUGGUUGAAAAAGUUAGUGGUGAAAUCCCAGAGCUUAACUCUGGAACUGCCAUUAAAACUUUUUAGCUAGAGUAUGAUAGAGGAAAGCAGAAUUUCUAGUGUAGAGGUGAAAUUCGUAGAUAUUAGAAAGAAUACCAAUUGCGAAGGCAGCUUUCUGGAUCAUUACUGACACUGAGGAACGAAAGCAUGGGUAGCGAAGAGGAUUAGAUACCCUCGUAGUCCAUGCCGUAAACGAUGUGUGUUAGACGUUGGAAAUUUAUUUUCAGUGUCGCAGCGAAAGCGAUAAACACACCGCCUGGGGAGUACGACCGCAAGGUUAAAACUCAAAUGAAUUGACGGGGACCCGCACAAGUAGUGGAGCAUGUGGUUUAAUUCGAAGAUACGCGCAGAACCUUACCAACACUUGACAUGUUCGUCGCGACUCUAAGAGAUUAGAGUUUUCGGUUCGGCCGGACGAAACACAGGUGCUGCAUGGCUGUCGUCAGCUCGUGUCGUGAGAUGUUGGGUUAAGUCCCGCAACGAGCGCAACCCUCACUUUUAGUUGCCAUCAUUAAGUUGGGCACUCUGAAAGAACUGCCAGUGAUAAGCUGGAGGAAGGUGGGGAUGACGUCAAGUCCUCAUGGCCCUUACGUGUUGGGCUACACACGUGCUACAAUGGUAUCUACAACAGGAAGCAAGACUGCGAAGUUAAGCAAAUCCCUAAAAGAUACCUCAGUUCGGAUUGCACUCUGCAACUCGAGUGCAUGAAGCUGGAAUUACUAGUAAUCGUGGAUCAGCGUGCCACGGUGAAUGCGUUCCCGGGUCUUGUACACACCGC